GGGUUGUCAACACCAGUCUGGAUGACGUCAUCCACAGUGAAGCCACUGGGGGUAGACUUUCCCCUCAGCUUUCCAUAGAUAUCCUUGGUCAGCACCUACAGCAGAUGACACACGGUGCAGAUGGAGGUCAGAAGUUGCUUGUGUCUGUCAGUGGAGGUGCAGUAGAUGGAUGACACCUGGUGCACCGAAAGGUCAAAGUCUGCAUGCCUCACAGAUGGCUCCACAAGUUCCAUGACUAAAUCAAGCGCUCCUAAACUAUUCAAAGACAAGACACACCUCAAGUCUGUUCUGCUGGGGUCAGCAACAGCUGACAGAUAGUCACAACUGUUGGAGUGACACUACUGGAGUGAUACUUAGCUACGCCUUAAUCAGCAGAAUGUUGCUACCCACGUCCACGAGUCAAGACAUUCACGGAAAAAACUGCAUUUCAGGUUGAAGUGUGCAUCAGCAGUAGAGUGAUUUUAGAUGGUAGAUUUUAGUAGUUUCCUUGUCAGGAAAAGUGUGCAAAGCUUCAGAGGAAUCCAUAAAAAAUGCAAGAAGCAAAUUCAAUUGGUUCAGUUUUCCUGGCUCAGAGUUCACCAGUGGAGUGGAAUCUGUCAGAUUUUUGGUUUCCCUCAUAAGGCAAUUUUGUUUUCAUGAUGUUUGUUCAGGGAGAGGUAUUAUUCCAUAGUUAAAUGUAAAAAUCACCACAAUAUUUCCCACGGAGCUAGCAAAAAGACUAACGAAAGCAUUGAGUUGCCUUUUACCUGCUUAGGAGAAAAGAAAGAGGUAACAGAUCCCGGGAUCAGAUCCUGUCCACCAAAUGUAGGGGUUGCCCAACUCUGCCAGGUGAUGGGCUUAAGCAUUUAUACCCAGACCUCGGUCCCUAUUGGCUGACCGGGCCUGGGGUCCCCUCACUCGAUUGGUCGCACGGAGUCUUCUGUGCCGAGUUGAGUUUCUAAAAGGAAAGAACGAACAUCACACAGCACUCGAGAUGAGAGACAAGGCAACAGCUGCAGUCACCCAGUCCAACCUUUCACCUUCUGCCUGCUGGUAGCUGCUUUAUAGCAGCGUGCCGGAAAGAACACUGCAGAAAACGCAUGCAUCCUUUGUUACAUUAGAUGCAUGCAAAGUAAGUCAUAACUGUUGCAUCUACUCUCAGAGGUGCGUCGCUUUGGAUAAAAGUGUCUGGUAAAUGAAGUUUAGAAGUGUAAAGUAAUUGCAUUAUAGUGGAAUUAGAGUCACAUGUGGGCCUUAGUCAGUGUUUUAACCUUUACCAGUGUAAGAGGAAAAGUAGAUCAAGAGUGCAAAUCUCAAAAUCACGUCAUGCAAAAAGUAGCCAUGAUGCACAUUUAAUAUUGACAGUAAAAUAAAAUAAAAUAAUUUAGAUUUUAUUGUAUUUGAAUUACAUGAACCCCAUGCCUUCAUUUACUGUUUAUGAUAUAACAAACAUUUACUCGAAGCAGUACAAAAAAUAAUAUUAAUCAAACAACAAAUGUAACCCCUACCUCCACCCCAGCCUACAAAGUAAGUAAAAAACUAUAAAAAGCACAUAAAAAAUGAGGAGAAAAGGUAUUUGAAUUUAAUUAUACUUCAGUAUACAACAUGUUAAAGUGCAGUAUUUGUUGUAGCAGGAAUCUGAUGUAGUUUUCAUGCAGCAUUGUGAUAGUAAUCUGUGUUAUGUUGGUCAGAGAUCAGUCUUUUAAGCUGAUUUCACCUGGACGGCUGUGAUAUUACUGUAUCGUGCAUAUGCAUCCUUGUUUCAUAAGUGUUCCCUGUGAAUCAGUGAUGCAGAGUAACUGGAGUUCUGUCUGUCAUCACAUUUGGGAGUUAAAAUAACCACUUUGUCUUGGAUUACAUCAUCAUAAUAUUGAAGAUUACAGAUUGGAUUUCAGUGAACCGCGGCGCUCUCACCAACCAAUUUACUAAACGGAGGUGUCUCCUUGUGUGUGAAAUGUCAUGCAGUGAAGCAUAGUGACAGGCUGUUCAUACUCAAAACAUUUGGCAAGUCAAAGAACGGAAAACUCCAAUGUCUCUUUUUAUGUUCCUUUCAAAAUGUGGGAGAAUUUCUUUCUUAGUAUGUAUGUUUCUCAGAAAUUAACAGAUUUCAUUGAAUAUCGCGACUGACACAUUUCAGAUGAGUAUCAUUUAUGUGCUAUAUCUAAUGCAUAUCCAGGUAAUGAGAUGAUUAUACUCAGAGUGAGAUCUGUCUCUGACUGUAAAAUCUCUCUUAUGUACAAGUGCCAACAUCAUUACUCUCCAUUUGUAAUGCGAUAGACUUUGGUAAUCUACCCGCAGACAGAUAUUAAUUCACCCAAAUCAUGUGACAGAGUAGAAACUGUGGGGUGGAGCUGAGAGACACUGUGAUGCAAAUAGCAGCCUCACAGGAGAUCCAGGUUUCCCCAGAGCUGCUUUUCAGAGAAGACCCAAGUAUUCAACCCCUUUAAAGUGGCUAACCUAAUUCAACAGCUAACUGGUGCUAGAAGUCCCACGAAUAGUGAACUGUAAGUCAUCUGAGUGCGGUGAAUCUGUCUCCAGUGAUUGUCGUAUUAUGUUGAAGGUCUAGUCCUCAAAAACUGAGUGACCAAGAUAGAGACUAGUGAAGGAGGCCACCCGGACACCUAUGACCCUCUGAAAGUGUGGCUUAAACAGCGAAAAUGGGAGAGACUGUUCAUUCAGCAACUGUUGUCUGUUCUUCACCAGUCAAAGCUUUAUGGCAAAGUGGAAACGAGAAAGUCACCGUUGAAAAAAAAAAAGCUUUUGUUAAAUCUCAGGUAGAGUUCACCAGAAGGCAUGCAGAGACUUUGAAGUCUACUGGGAAAAGGUUCUUUGGUCUGAUGACACUAAUAUUAUGAUUUUUAGCCUACAGAUUAGACGCUAUUUUUAGUGGAUAUGAAACACUGCAAACACAACACAACAAUUUCCACAAUGAAGCAUGGUGGUGGCAUCAGUAUAAUGUGGGGGUGUUUCUCAAUAGCAGCCCUGAAAGGCUUAUAAAGGUAGUCUAUCUAUCUAUCUAUCUAUCUAUCUAUCUAUCUAUCUAUCUAUCUAUCUAUCUAUCUAUCUAUCUAUCUAUCUAUCUAUCUAUCUAUCUGUCUAUCUGUCUAUCUAUCUAAUUGAGAUUAAUCUUCAGUACGUAGUGAUAGGACUUACAGUGAUAAACAUUUAAAUAAGCAUAUUUUGUAACAGAAAGAUGUUUUGGUUGUAUACAGCUGGGUAACGUGGAAGGUGAAGGUAAACUGGUAGUUCAUAUUUUUAGUACUGACUGUGACUUGAAAAGAGGGGUGUUAAAACAUCAAGGUCCUCAAAAAACAUGGUGCAAGAAAUGUGGCACUCGCCUCAGAUCAUCCAUGUGGUUAUUUCAGUUCAAUCUUGUGCUUUGACGUGGCCUUUUGGCUCUUUUUGUACAUGGUUACAGUUAUUGUACUGACAGUUACAUGCUAUGCUGAUGACAAUCGCCUUUAUAUAUAAAAUAGCUUCUCCUAGUUUCUAAAUGUAUAGCUGUACUGAUUCAAAGCAAAUGAUGGAUGUUCUUUUAUUUUACUAAUGAUAUGUUAUAAAUAGCUUGUCACUGUUUAAUUUUUGCAAAUAAUCAAUGCAGGAAUUGCAGAAUUGUGUACUCUUCUGCCACUCAACACGUGUACUGCAUGUUUGUCAGGCUACAUUUGUGGCUGCUUCCAUCCUUUCGGCUUGCUUUUGCAGCUUUAAAUCUGCAAGUACAUGUUGUGUUCACGAGUGUGGGGAGUCUCAGCUCCUUUGCUCUAAAUCAACUCUCGGGCUCCAGUUUCACAGCUGUGCCCUGACCAUCCACAGAGACGACUUUCCAAAUUAAUCUUCCUCCAUGUCGCUGCAUGUGUCUCACACACUGUGAAUUCACUCUCACAUGAGUGAACGCACACCUACUUAUUACCAUAACAACCAAUAACAGGACAUAAGCCUGUGCUGAAUGACACACGGAACGGAACCAGGCAUGGAUAGUCUUUUAAUUAGUGAGAGAAUAUUAACAUCCAGUCACUGAUCCCGAUAAAAUAUACAUCCUUCAAAGUUAAGAAUAAAGUGGCACAUGAAUUUUUUUUGGAAAUAUUUUUAACUUUCAUGUCUGAUCAAAGUAUACACUGGAAAAAAUGCUCCUCUCAAAACAAGAAAAAAAACUUUUAUCUUGAAAUUAGUUUUAAAAAAAUCUGCCAAUAGAACAAGUGAAAAAAUUCUUGGUAAGAUUUCCUGAAAUAAAAUAUGAUAUUUAGAAUGUUGAGAUCUUAAAAUUAGCUGGGAAAACUAAUUUUAAGCUCUAUUUUACCAGAAUUGUCAAGCUUAGGUGUCGUAAAAUGAACCAGACAUGCUUAAAGAAUAGUAGUUUUUCACUCAAAAAUAGAUUUUUGCUUUCAUAUAACCUCUUAAUUUGAGAUGUAUUAACCCUCCAGUUGUCUUCAUUUAUGGGCACCAAAAAUAUUGUUUCCUUAUCUGAAAAAAAUCCAAAACAUCAUAAAAAAAAUUCACCAAAAAAAUUUGCAAAACCUUCAGGAAGAAAAUUCCAAUAGUUCUUUAAAGUUUGCCUUGAAAUUUAUUUUAAAGUAAUCCCCCAAAUUUGGCAAGAAAAUUCCUGUAAAUAUUUUUCAGAAAAUGAGUAAAAAUCUUCCAAAAAAAUCUUAAAAAUAUCUGAAAUGAAUCCAUAUAUAUCAGUAACACUUCUAUUUUCUUUAAGAACAUUCACACAAAAAUCAACCAAAAUCCAGCAAAUUUCACUGGAUUUUGGUUGAUUUUUAUGUGAAUGUUCUUCAAUUUUUUUUAACAUUUCUUUUUUUCCAUCAAAAAAUGUUCAAAAAUUUCCCAAAAAUGUGGACAUCAGAAAAUAUAUAUGUGAAAAUAUAAAUUUUUUCCACAUUUUCAGACUUUUGACCUGCAUAAUGACACCAGGGUUAAACUUAUUUUGAAUUUUCUUGUAAAAUUCAACUCAAAACAAGAUAAUUUCAUGAUUGUUUGACUUAACGAGAUAUUUAAGAUGCGUUGUCUUAAUAUAAGUCCCUCCAUUUUGCUGAAAUGCCACUUGUUAAGGGAAUUUAUCUUUAAUCAAGUGGGAUGAGACAUUUUGACCAAAAAUAAGACAAAUAGACUUGAUAAGAUUUUGAGUUUUUGCAGUGCAGAAGGUAUAAAUACUCAACAUAAACAGUCCAAAAGGGUGUUUCAACUCUAUAUUACACAUAAAAGUACAAUUUUGCCCUUAGCUGCACCCCUAAACGCAAACCCCCAGUCAAUAAAACUCAAAGGUCACGCUGACUGACGUGUGAUAUGUGCUGUGUGCGUCUUCUGCCCAUUCAGACCACUUAGUUCUGUAGCUCGAAUGCCACCGUGGCUCAGAGCCAGUAUCCCAGUUUAGACUGUCACCCUAUCUCCCAGCGCUACCCCCUCCCCCACACACCCAUAUCACCCCCCACCGCUGAGCCAAACAGCCCCAGAACCCUGCAGCUGCCCCGGGGAACCAGGCACCAAGGACAGUUAUGUAAACCAGCAACACUGUGUGAAUCAUUUAUAAUGAUUUUAAUCUGAGUCUCAUGAGCCGAAUGUGCCAAAGAGAAAAUCAGUUCAAUACUUGGGGAGCAGGUUAAUGCAUACUAAAUGACACGUUAUUGGCAUUUGUUUUCUGGUGUUUGUGUGAGAAUAUGUUGUUAGGAGGUGUGUUUAGUUGCUUCACAGGCUCUUGGUGCAGUUUGCAUGUGUGUGUCCUUACUUGCUCAGUUCAUUACAAUCCAAUGAAACAACCCUGCAGUGAUGACGUCUCUGAAGCUGAUUUUGUUGCAUUUUUAUUGCAUUAACAUGUGAUCUGAUUCUGCCUCUCCUUUAACCCUCCUGUUGUCCUCAUUUACAGGCACCAAAAAAUAUUGUUUCCUUGUCUGAAAAAAAAUCCAAAAAUUCAGAAAAAAAUUCCCCAAAUUUCUGAAAAUUUGCAAAACCAUUCGGAAGAAAAUUCCACUAAUUCCUUAAAAGUUUACCUUGACAGUUUAAUUAAAAAAAAAAAUCCCCCAACAACGAGGGUUAAAGGCAUUAUGGAGGAUAUUUUUGUUGUUUAAUUUGUCUGAUUCACAUAAAAUGAAUAUACUGACCUUUAGUGGAGUUGUAUGUAUGAUUUCUAAAAGAAUAAAAAAAUAAAUAAAAUAACUGUGGACAUGG